AAGAAGCUAGCCAUUCUUGUUCAGUAUUCUUGUUCAGUAUUGCUACACCCCGAUAUACUCAAUAUGUUGUCCAACGGUGAGUCAUUUUUCCCACUGGAUUUUAGGGUUCGCCCACCUGCCAGAUCCCACUUUAACCACUGGAUACACUGAUAUUAAAUCAUCUGGAGACGCUUUAACCCUACAACCCUUAUUGUAACUGUGACGUUUCUUUCAAAGGAAACAAGGGCCAAAAUGAAGGUGGUCUUUCUCCUGGGACUCCUCCCACUGAUAGGGCUUUUCAAAGAAGUUCACACACAAAUAACACAAUCAAGCGGUUCCUCAGCCUUCUCAACAAACACAGCCCCUCAAACUACACCAGUUCCACAGACUGCUCCAGUCACAGAAGCAUCCGUCCCACAGCCUGAGGUCAAGCUGGAAUUCAAACUAGAGAUGACAUUCACACCAGAGCUUAAAAACACCUCUUCACCAAAAUUUGUACAGUUGGCUUCUCAAGUGGCCUUAGCGCUUGAUAGCAUAUAUUCAGCAGUAUUUGGAUCCAGUUUCAACCAUGCAGAAAUCAAAAGCUUCAGACAGGGGUCGGUCAUUGUGGAUUCAGUACUGAUUUUCAAUGAUGUAAACUCUGUUCCUGAAACUGGAAAUGUGACUGACACCUUGGUACUAGCUGCUUCCUCCAACAAUUCACACUUUGCUCAUCUUCACCUCAAUGCUCCAUCACAACACCAGCACAGCCAUCAAAGUCAGCAGCAGUCACAGCACCACCUCAGACUUCCCCUUCAACAUCACAUUCUACAGUGUUCUAUCCAUCCGCAUCCACAACAAUGAGAACAACAGAGGCUUCAUCAACAGUCUUACUCUCCUCUACACCAGCAGUCACAACUCUACCUGGGAGCUGCUCCUCCCCAACAUCGCUCUGCUGUCUGGGCCUAAACAACACAUGCUACCGUAACGGCUGCUAUUGUGAUGAGGCCUGCGUCCGUAUCACAGACUGCUGUUCUGACUACAAUCAGACUUGUAGUUCACUUCAUCCCUCCAGAGUCAUCAUGAAAGUGAGAGGCAACCUGAACACACACAGGGGAGAGGCGGCCUUCCAGGAACUGGACUUUUUUCUAGUGAACAAACUGAAGGAGCUCUGCAGUAACUGUGAAGUACUGAUUCUGAACAAAACAAUCAUGAAGGUUCCUUGAGUGAUGGACGUUCAACAGAAGACCGAGCGAUACAGCCUUUACACUUCCUGCUUGGCCUUUCCAUUUCAGUCACUUAUGCUUUCUAAUACUUCUACUACUUCCAUUUAUUCAGUCAUUUCCUUGUAUUUAGUUAUCACAAUUAAUUAGUGAACUGACAGUUUUGGGUGGGGAGCAGUGGAGUCAUUUGGCAACAACUUGUUUAUCCACAGUUGGUCCUUCUUCUAAAGAACAUGUGAAAUGUGUAGGGACUGCACAGCCCUGAUGAGGGUUAGACUUCUAAACAGUCACAAUAAGUGGGCCUAUGCACUGGUUUAUCACUUGUGAAGUCAUUAUGGAAAAGUAAUCAACAAAACAGAACAAAACAGAAUUUCAUUUCACCCCCAAAUUUCAAAUGCCCCCCAAAAGGAACACUUGAUAACUGUUUAAUUAUCUGUCUAUAUUGAGAUUUGAAUUUACACCAUUUCUCAAUACAACACACAAAUUGCAUUACUACUGUUUCACCACUAGAGAGCAGCACACACUUGAGGGGAAGUUACUGGUGCAAAGUUACAACCCUGUUGAGGUUGAAAAAGCUGAACAAGAACCCUAAACCACCUUGCAAAGUAACCUAUAACUAACCUGUUUGAUGUUGAGUAUAUAGCCUACUCUGCACUUCUGGUCAGACUCAUGUGUGAGGCCAUAUGUAUAGCGUGCAAAGCAGAUCAUCAUUCCUUACAGUAUGAGAGGUGAGAUGCUGUGCAGAGGGAACAGAUAAGGAAGUCUAACUCACUCAACCUGUGUGCCUGUAUGUGUGUGUUGUCCUUGAGCACUUCUGUUUGUAAUAUUAUGUUCUGCACUGUUUGGUGUGUUAAAAUCACAUUGAUGUUCUCCAAGAGCAUAUUAUCACCAAACCGGACGUUCAACAAAUAGCUGAAAUGAGGAGUGCAUGACAUCAGUCAUAGUAUCUUAUCACUCACCUUCACAUAGCAUCUCACUUUCCAUGAGUUCUCUGACGUGUUGAUCAUUGUUCGUUCUGUUGAACUGUUUGUUUUAGAAAAGGCACAGGAAAGAGCAGGUAAACACUGAACUUUUCUACAGAAUCUACCAGUAUGUUCCAGAAUUUGCAUUCUUGAUCUAUGGUAAACAGAGCAGAAUAACCAACAUACAUUUGAUUGGGUGAAAUCCAACAUUCCAUCAGGUAUUAGAAUAUUAUGUUGAGUAGUUGGCUAUUCUACCUUGAUUUGUUUCCUUUUUGGGUGUCACUUUGGGUUAAAAAGCGUCAGCCAAAUGUAAUGUAAUGUAAUCGCUGAGUAAACGUGUGGUGAAUCAUUCGUACUCCAUUAUAGAAUAGCCGUCAUCACCAUGGACUUAAACAAAGAAAUGCUUGUUGUGAAAUUUAGCUUUUAACACCAGUUUGUGCUCUGUAUUUCAAAACUAAUAUCACUUUACUAGUGACUUUGUCUGUUGACUUGGCUGAUGUGUCCCUCAUGAUUAAAACCAAAGAAAUGUGCCUUUUAGCAGUGUUUGCUCUGUAUUUCAAAACUAUCACUUUACUAUCUGUUGACUUGGCCUAUGUGUAUUGAUCAUGGUCCAGAAACAUGAUAUCAUAUAUGUCUUAUUAUAUUUAACUGUCAACAUGAUGUUUAUUAAAGCUAUUAAAACCACAUUACCCAGUAGGGGACUUGAAAAAAAAAAUCAUUAUUUCCUGAAAACACCCUGUAGUGUCAACAAAUCCUAUGAGAAGUUAGAAACUAUUAUCCAAAAAAACAUCCUGGUUAGUAUGACCGGACAACUUCCUCAUCUACUCCCUCUGCAUAGCAUCUCUCCACUCUUAAGGAAUGAUGGUCUGCUCUACGUACACUGCUCUUCUACUGCUGGUCAUUCUGCAAACAGCAUCAGAGAGCCCAGCGAGCUGCUCCUUCCCAACAUCGCUCUGCUGUCCGGGCUGUAACAACUCAGCAACCGUAAUGGCUUCUUUUGUGACGAGUACUGGCUCAUUCCCAGAAACUGCUGUUCUGACUACAAUCAGACUUGUAAUUCUUCUUCUAACCACUUCUGCAAUCACAACUGAAGACCGCACCUCAACAACUUCCCCACUUACCAGCAGUAAGUCACCAACAUCCCGCUCAAACAGUGUAACGACUGAAGAACAGAAGCAAAAAGAUCCCACCAGAGUCAUCAUGAAAGUGAGGGGCAACCUGAACACACACACGGGGAGAGGAGACCGUAGGCCUUGCAGACUGGGCGUUUCUCUGGAGCACACAUUUAAAGAGCACUGUGGGGACUGCACCGUAGGGCUACAGAUUCUGAGCCACAAGGCAAUCACUAAUGAUUCUUAAGGGAUGCCUGUUAUAAACAUUCAGCAGGGUCUGAAAAGCACAACCUUUUUGAACUAACAUAAAUAUCUUUUUAUAUCAUAUCAGUGCAGUAAGCUGUUUUUUCUUAUAAUACUAAUUCAAUAAACAGUAUUAAAUUGAUGUUGACUAACGACUUACUUAGGUCUACAAGGUAUAUUUAUUGAGUGAAUAAAAAGUCAUAUAUCCAAAGGAAUUGUGGCUAUUCAAUUGUUGGACUAGCAACACUAGGCCUAUACAUUUCUCACUAGGUGGUAGCAACGAGCUUCUGCGUGACUUGACUUUCUAGAAUAAAGGCAGGCCUAGACUUUUAAGUGUUUAGUUAGAAAGAAAACAUCAUAAUAAGAAUUGGACUGGAACAUUGAAGACAAGCCGCCGUUACAGAUAGAUAGAUAGAUAGAUAGAUAGAUACUUUAUUGAUCCCCAGGAGAAAUUCAAGUAACAUAAGAGAGGGGAUGUUAAAUGAACAGCCUAUAGAUUGGCCAAUUUUCUUAACAAAAAAAAAAAAAAAUGAUAGGCCCAAACCAAGGCUAGCAUACAUAAACCGAAAAAAAAAAUCCUAACAUUUUCUAGUCAAAGUGAAUUUAUUGUAGGCUAGGCUACUACUACCCGAAUUAUUUUUGCAUGUCCAACCAUUUGAUUUCACAUUUUUGAUAGCCUAAAGUAAAACAAA